rnacentral:tRNA from 1 species
AGUCAAUGAGCUUGAACAAGCGUGUGUUUUGAAAACACAAGAUAGAAAUUAACCUUUCUAUUGACUU